rnacentral:rRNA from 1 species
GGGUUGUGAGGUUAAGCGACUAAGCGUACACGGUGGAUGCCCUGGCAGUCAGAGGCGAUGAAGGACGUGCUAAUCUGCGAUAAGCGUCGGUAAGGUGAUAUGAACCGUUAUAACCGGCGAUUUCCGAAUGGGGAAACCCAGUGUGUUUCGACACACUAUCAUUAACUGAAUCCAUAGGUUAAUGAGGCGAACCGGGGGAACUGAAACAUCUAAGUACCCCGAGGAAAAGAAAUCAACCGAGAUUCCCCCAGUAGCGGCGAGCGAACGGGGAGCAGCCCAGAGCCUGAAUCAGUGUGUGUGUUAGUGGAAGCGUCUGGAAAGGCGCGCGAUACAGGGUGACAGCCCCGUACACAAAAAUGCACAUGCUG